rnacentral:tRNA from 1 species
ACCUGGCAGGCUUAGUUGGGGGAGCAUAUGACUCUAGAUCUCAGGGUUGUGGGUUCAAGUCCCAUGUUGAGUG